GUGUGCGUUCAUACCAGCAAUAAUGUAUCGGAUUCCAUCAGAACUCUGAAGUUAAGCGUGCUUGGGCGAGAAUGGGCGAGAAUGGUACUAAGACAAGCUUUGUCGCCGGACCCC
rnacentral:rRNA from 1 species